UACGUAGGGUGCAAGCGUUAAUCGGAAUUACUGGGCGUAAAGCGUGCGCAGGCGGUUGUGCAAGACAGAUGUGAAAUCCCCGGGCUCAACCUGGGAAUUGCAUUUGUGACUGCACGGCUAGAGUGUGUCAGAGGGGGGUAGAAUUCCACGUGUAGCAGUGAAAUGCGUAGAGAUGUGGAGGAAUACCAAUGGCGAAGGCAGCCCCCUGGGAUAAUAUUGACGCUCAUGCACGAAAGCGUGGGGAGCAAACAGG
rnacentral:rRNA from 1 species